AGGGUUUGAUCAUGGCUCAGAUUGAACGCUGGCGGUAGGCUUAACACAUGCAAGUCGUGCGAGAAAGUACCUUCGGGUGCGAGUAGAGCGGCGGACGGGUGAGUAACGCGUAGGAAUCUACCUAGUAGAAGGGGAUAGCCCGGGGAAACUCGGAUUAAUACCGUAUACCUCCUAAGGGAGAAAGAGGGCCUCUCUUGAUGCUCUCGCUAUUAGAUGAGCCUGCGUAAGAUUAGCUUGUUGGUGAGGUAAUGGCUUACCAAGGCUACGAUCUUUAGCUGGUCUGAGAGGACGAUCAGCCACAUUGGGACUGAGACACGGCCCAGACUCCUACGGGAGGCAGCAGUGGGGAAUAUUGGACAAUGGGCGCAAGCCUGAUCCAGCCAUACCGCGUGUGUGAAGAAGGCCUUCGGGUUGUAAAGCACUUUAAGCAGGGAGAAAAAGUUAUAAGUUAAUACCUUAUAACCGUGAUGUUACCUGCAGAAUAAGCACCGGCUAAUUCCGUGCCAGCAGCCGCGGUAAUACGGAAGGUGCAAGCGUUAAUCGGAAUUACUGGGCGUAAAGCGCGCGUAGGUGGUUUGUUAAGUUGGAUGUGAAAGCCCUGGGCUCAACCUAGGAACUGCAUCCAAAACUAACUCACUAGAGUACGAUAGAGGGAGGUAGAAUUCAUAGUGUAGCGGUGGAAUGCGUAGAUAUUAUGAAGAAUACCAGUGGCGAAGGCGGCCUCCUGGAUCUGUACUGACACUGAGGUGCGAAAGCGUGGGUAGCGAACAGGAUUAGAUACCCUGGUAGUCCACGCCGUAAACGAUGACAACUAGCUGUUGGGAGACAAUGUCUUUCAGUGGCGCAGCUAACGUUUUAAGUUGUCCGCCUGGGGAGUACGGCCGCAAGGCUAAAACUCAAAUGAAUUGACGGGGACCCGCACAAGCGGUGGAGCAUGUGGUUUAAUUCGAUGCAACGCGAAAAACCUUACCUACAAUUGACAUACUGCGAAUUUUCUAGAGAUAGAUUAGUGCCUUCGGGAACGCAGAUACAGGUGCUGCAUGGCUGUCGUCAGCUCGUGUCGUGAGAUGUUGGGUUAAGUCCUAUAACGAGCGCAACCCUUACCCUUAUUUGCCAGCGGUUCGGCCGGGAACUAUAAGGGAACUGCCGGUAAUAAGCCGGAGGAAGGUGGGGACGACGUCAAGUCAUCAUGGCCCUUACAUGUAGGGCUACACACGUGCUACAAUGGGAGAUACAAACGGUUGCCAAAGCGCGAGCUGGAGCUAAUCCGAUAAAGUCUCUCGUAGUCCGAAUUGCAGUCUGGAACUCGACUGCAUGAAGCCGGAAUCGCUAGUAAUCGCGGAUCAGCAUGCCGCGGUGAAUACGUUCUCGGGUCUUGUACACACCGCCCGUCACACCAUGGGAGUGCAUUGCACCAGAAGUAGAUAGCUUAACCUUCGGGAUGGCGUUUACCACGGUGUGGUCCAUGACUGGGGUGAAGUCGUAACAAGGUAACCGUA
rnacentral:rRNA from 1 species